CCUACGGGGGGCUGCAGUGGGGAAUAUUGGACAAUGGACCAAAAGUCUGAUCCAGCAAUUCUGUGUGCACGAUGAAGUUUUUCGGAAUGUAAAGUGCUUUCAGUUGGGAAGAAGUCAGUGACGGUACCAACAGAAGAAGCGACGGCUAAAUACGUGCCAGCAGCCGCGGUAAUACGUAUGUCGCAAGCGUUAUCCGGAUUUAUUGGGCGUAAAGCGCGUCUAGGCGGCUUAGUAAGUCUGAUGUGAAAAUGCGGGGCUCAACCCCGUAUUGCGUUGGAAACUGCUAAACUAGAGUACUGGAGAGGUAGGCGGAACUACAAGUGUAGAGGUGAAAUUCGUAGAUAUUUGUAGGAAUGCCGAUGGGGAAGCCAGCCUACUGGACAGAUACUGACGCUAAAGCGCGAAAGCGUGGGUAGCAAACAGGAUUAGAUACCCCAGUAGUC
rnacentral:rRNA from 1 species